rnacentral:misc_RNA from 1 species
UCUCCGUUGGUGAACCAGCGGAGGGAUCAUUACCGAGUUUACAACUCCCAAACCCCUGUGAACAUACCUUAACGUUGCCUCGGCGGAUCAGCCCGCGCCCCGUAAAACGGGACGGCCCGCCAGAGGACCCAAACUCUAAUGUUUCUUAUUGUAACUUCUGAGUAAAACAAACAAAUAAAUCAAAACUUUCAACAACGGAUCUCUUGGUUCUG